CAGUCGCCACGGGAAGACGAACCGUGCGAACGUUAUUCGGAAUCACUGGGCUUAAAGCGCGUGUAGGCGGGAGGGCACGUCCGUCGCUGAAAUCCCCCGGCUCAACCGGGGAACGGGCGCGGAUACGACUCUUCUGGAGGAACGUAGGGGGACCUGGAACUUCCGGUGGAGCGGCGAAAUGCGUUGAGAUCGGAAGGAACGCCCGUGGCGAAAGCGAGGUCCUGGACGUUUACUGACGCUGAGACGCGAAAGCCAGGGGAGCGAACGGGAUUAGAUACCCCCGUAGUCCCUGUCUCUUAUA
rnacentral:rRNA from 1 species